UACGGCCGCAAGGCUAAAACUCAAAGGAAUUGACGGGGGCCCGCACAAGCGGCGGAGCAUGCGGAUUAAUUCGAUGCAACGCGAAGAACCUUACCAAGGCUUGACAUGGACCGGACCGCCGCAGAGAUGUGGUUUCCCCUUUUGGGGCCGGUUCACAGGUGGUGCAUGGUUGUCGUCAGCUCGUGUCGUGAGAUGUUGGGUUAAGUCCCGCAACGAGCGCAACCCUCGUUCCAUGUUCCCAGCGCGUAAUGGCGGGGACUCAUGGGAGACUGCCGGGGUCAACUCGGAGGAAGGUGGGGACGACGUCAAAUCAUCAUGCCCCUUAUGUCUUGGGCUUCACGCAUGCUACAAUGGCCGGUACAAAGGGUUGCGAUACUGUGAGGUGGAGCUAAUCCCAAAAAGCCGGUCUCAGUUCGGAUUGGGGUCUGCAACUCGACCCCAUGAAGUCGGAGUCGCUAGUAAUCGCAGAUCAGCAACGCUGCGGUGAAUACGUUCCCGGGCCUUGUACACACCGCCCGUCAAGUCACGAAAGUUGGUAACACCCGAAGCCGGUGGCCUAACCCCUUGUGGGAGGGAGCCGUCGAAGGUGGGACUGGCGAUUGGGACUAAGUCGUAACAAGUAGCCCCCCC
rnacentral:rRNA from 1 species